rnacentral:rRNA from 1 species
AGCGAACGCUGGCGGCAUGCCUAACACAUGCAAGUCGCACGGGGGGGCUUCGGCCUCCCAGUGGCGGACGGGUGAGGAACGCGUAGGGACCUGUCGAGGGGUGGGGGAUAACCGCGGGAAACUGCGGCUAAUACCGCAUGACGCCGCGGCGUGACAGCCGGGGCCAAGGCGAAAGCCGCCCGCCGAGGGGCCUGCGUCCGAUUAGCUGGUUGGCGGGGUAGCGGCCCACCAAGGCGUCGAUCGGUAGCUGGUCUGAGAGGGUGAUCAGCCACACCGGGACUGAGACACGGCCCGGACUCCUGCGGGAGGCAGCAGUGGGGAAUAUUGGACAAUGGGCGCAAGCCUGAUCCAGCAAUGCCGCGUGGGUGAAGAAGGUCUUCGGAUUGUAAAGCCCUUUCGGCGGGGACGAUGGUGACGGUACCCGCAGAAGAGGCCCCGGCUAACUUCGUG